CACUCCUGCGGGAGGCAGCAGUGGGGAAUUUUGGACAAUGGGCGAAAGCCUGAUCCAGCAAUGCCGCGUGUGUGAAGAAGGCCUUCGGGUUGUAAAGCACUUUUGUCCGGAAAGAAAUCCUUGGCUCUAAUACAGUCGGGGGAUGACGGUACCGGAAGAAUAAGCACCGGCUAACUACGUGCCAGCAGCCGCGGUAAUACGUAGGGUGCGAGCGUUAAUCGGAAUUACUGGGCGUAAAGCGUGCGCAGGCGGUUUGCUAAGACCGAUGUGAAAUCCCCGGGCUCAACCUGGGAACUGCAUUGGUGACUGGCAGGCUAGAGUAUGGCAGAGGGGGGUAGAAUUCCACGUGUAGCAGUGAAAUGCGUAGAGAUGUGGAGGAAUACCGAUGGCGAAGGCAGCCCCCUGGGCCAAUACUGACGCUCAUGCACGAAAGCGUGGGGAGCAAACAGGAUUAGAUACCCCGGUAGUCCCAU
rnacentral:rRNA from 1 species